rnacentral:piRNA from 1 species
UGGAACGUCUGGCAGGUACAGAGAGUU